GCCAGGUGUGGUGGUGUGCACCUGUAGUCCCAGCUACUUGGGAGGCUGAGGUGGGAGGAUCACUUGAACCCAGGAGUUUGAGGCUGCAGUGAGCUGUGAUCAUGCCACUGCGAUCCAGCCUGGGUGACAGAGCAAGACCCCAUCUCUA
ensembl:misc_RNA Metazoa_SRP Metazoan signal recognition particle RNA